rnacentral:rRNA from 1 species
GUAGGUGGCAAGCGUUGUCCGGAAUUAUUGGGCGUAAAGCGCGCGCAGGCGGUCCUUUAAGUCUGAUGUGAAAGCCCACGGCUCAACCGUGGAGGGUCAUUGGAAACUGGGGGACUUGAGUACAGAAGAGGAAAGCGGAAUUCCAAGUGUAGCGGUGAAAUGCGUAGAGAUUUGGAGGAACACCAGUGGCGAAGGCGGCUUUCUGGUCUGUAACUGACGCUGAGGCGUGAAAGCGUGGGGAGCAAACAGGGAUUAGAUACCCUGGUAGUCCACGCCGUAAACGAUGAGUGCUAAGUGUUAGGGGGUUUCCCGCCCCUUAGUGCUGCAGCUAACGCAUUAAGCACUCCGCCUGGGGAGUACGGCCGCAAGGCUG